UACAGAGGGUGCGAGCGUUAAUCGGAAUUACUGGGCGUAAAGCGCGCGUAGGCGGCUUUGCAAGUCGGGUGUGAAAUCCCCAGGCUUAACCUGGGAACUGCAUUCGAGACUGCAUUGCUAGAGUAUGGGAGAGGGAAGUGGAAUUUCCGGUGUAGCGGUGAAAUGCGUAGAUAUCGGAAGGAACAUCAGUGGCGAAAAGCGACUUCCUGGAACCCAAAUACUGACGCUCAUGUGCGAAAAGCGUGGG
rnacentral:rRNA from 1 species